AUUAGAUACCCGGGUAGUCCUAGCCGUAAACGAUACUCGCUAGGUGUCGGCCACGGUGCGACCGUUGUCGGUGCCGUAGGGAGGCCGUGAAGCGAGCCACCUGGGAAGUACGGCCGCAAGGCUGAAACUUAAAGGAAUUGGCGGGGGAGCACCACAACGGGUGGAGCUUGCGGUUUAAUUGGAUUCAACGCCGGAAAUCUUACCGGGACCGACAGCGAUAUGAAGGCCAGGCUGAAGACUUUGCCGGAUUAGCUGAGAGGUGGUGCAUGGC
rnacentral:rRNA from 1 species